rnacentral:rRNA from 1 species
CAGGCUUAACACAUGCAAGUCGAGGGGCAGCAUGGUCUUAGCUUGCUAAGGCCGAUGGCGACCGGCGCACGGGUGAGUAACACGUAUCCAACCUGCCGUCUACUCUUGGACAGCCUUCUGAAAGGAAGAUUAAUACAAGAUGGCAUCAUGAGUCCGCAUGUUCACAUGAUUAAAGGUAUUCCGGUAGACGAUGGGGAUGCGUUCCAUUAGAUAGUAGGCGGGGUAACGGCCCACCUAGUCUUCGAUGGAUAGGGGUUCUGAGAGGAAGGCCCCCCACAUUGGAACUGAGACACGGUCCAAACUCCUACGGGAGGCAGCAGUGAGGAAUAUUGGUCAAUGGGCGAGAGCCUGAACCAGCCAAGUAGCGUGAAGGAUGACUGCCCUAUGGGUUGUAAACUUCUUUUAUAAAGGAAUAAAGUCGGGUAUGGAUACCCGUUUGCAUGUACUUUAUGAAUAAGGAUCGGCUAACUCCGUGCCAGCAGCCGCGGUAAUACGGAGGAUCCGAGCGUUAUCCGGAUUUAUUGGGUUUAAAGGGAGCGUAGAUGGAUGUUUAAGUCAGUUGUGAAAGUUUGCGGCUCAACCGUAAAAUUGCAGUUGAUACUGGAUAUCUUGAGUGCAGUUGAGGCAGGCGGAAUUCGUGGUGUAGCGGUGAAAUGCUUAGAUAUCACGAGGAACUCCGAUUGCGAAGGCAGCCUGCUAAGCUGCAACUGACAUUGAGGCUCGAAAGUGUGGGUAUCAAACAGGAUUAGAUACCCUGGUAGUCCACACGGUAAACGAUGAAUACUCGCUGUUUGCGAUAUACAGCAAGCGGCCAAGCGAAAGCGUUAAGUAUUCCACCUGGGGAGUACGCCGGCAACGGUGAAACUCAAAGGAAUUGACGGGGGCCCGCACAAGCGGAGGAACAUGUGGUUUAAUUCGAUGAUACGCGAGGAACCUUACCCGGGCUUAAAUUGCAGAUGAAUUACGGUGGAAGCCGUAAGCCGCAAGGCAUCUGUGAAGGUGCUGCAUGGUUGUCGUCAGCUCGUGCCGUGAGGUGUCGGCUUAAGUGCCAUAACGAGCGCAACCCUUGUUGUCAGUUACUAACAGGUUCCGCUGAGGACUCUGACAAGACUGCCAUCGUAAGAUGUGAGGAAGGUGGGGAUGACGUCAAAUCAGCACGGCCCUUACGUCCGGGGCUACACACGUGUUACAAUGGGGGGUACAGAGGGCCGCUACCACGCGAGUGGAUGCCAAUCCCCAAAACCUCUCUCAGUUCGGACUGGAGUCUGCAACCCGACUCCACGAAGCUGGAUUCGCUAGUAAUCGCGCAUCAGCCACGGGGCGGUGAAUACGUUCCCGGGCCUUGUACACACCGCCCGUCAAGCCAUGGGAGCCGGGGGUACCUGAAGUGCGUAAC